rfam:Biomphalaria glabrata isolate BB02 linkage group LG4i unlocalized genomic scaffold LG4i_random_Scaffold22, whole genome shotgun sequence.
UGGCUGAGCGGUAAAGCGCUUGGCUUCCGAACCGGGGGUCCCGGGUUCAAAUCCUGG